CCACUAAUUAUCGUGUAUCAAAGCAAACAGAAAACAAAGCUUCGCUUGCAUUGAUUCCCACAGUUCGUGGGUUCCGCAUAUUCUUUUUUCGGAGAUUGCAGC
rnacentral:lncRNA from 1 species